rnacentral:rRNA from 1 species
GACAGAGGGUGCAAACGUUGCUCGGAAUUACUGGGCGUAAAGGGCGCGUAGGCGGCCAGCACAAGUCAGUUGUGAAAUCUCCGAGCUUAACUCGGAAAGGUCAACUGAUACUGUGCGGCUAGAGUGCAGAAGGGGCAACUGGAAUUCUUGGUGUAGAGGUGAAAUUCGUAGAUAUUGGGAAGAACACCGGUGGCGAAGGCGGCCAACUGGACCACAACUGACGCUGAGGCGCGAAAGCGUGGGGAGCAAACAGG